rnacentral:rRNA from 1 species
AUUGAACGCUGGCGGCAGGCCUAACACAUGCAAGUCGAGCGAGCGGCGGACGGGUGAGUACUGUCUGGGAAACUGCCUGUUGGAGGGGGAUAACUACUGGAAACGGUAGUUAAUACCGCAUACCAUCGGAUGUGCCCCGAUGGGAUUAGCUAGUGGGUGGGGUAACGGCUCACCUAGGCGACGAUCCCUAGCUGGUCUGAGAGGAUGACCAGCCACACUGGAACUGAGACACGGUCCAGACGCCUACGGGAGGCAGCAGUGGGGAAGAUUGCACAAUGGGCGCAAGCCUGAUACAGCCAUGCCGCGUGUAUGAAGAAGGCCUUCGGGUUGUAAAGUACUUUCAGCGGGGAGGCGUUACCCGCAGAAGAAGCACCGGCUAACUCCGUGCCAGCAGCCGCGGUAAUUC